CACUCCUGCCAGCCAAGACUUUCUCCUAUCCUAUUCAUUACAGCACAGCCCAGAACUCUUACCAUAACAUGCAGAACAACAGGCCAAACCAUGAGAUUCAUUGCCAAGCCUUGCUCUGCCCUGUUCUGCAUCACAGGGGCUGACCUCCUCCUGGUACAUUUCCCAAGCUCCUGUUCCAUCUGGCUCCUGAUUAAGUUUGGCCAAUGGGAGGCCUCAGAAGAACAUUAGAGGAAGGAAAAAGCCAAGGCUUCAGAACCACUUCUCCCAGCAAC